UCUUCAAGACAGGGCCACCGAUGCCGUCUGACUGCUGGGGGCCAGGUGAGCACAACAGCUGGGCCUGUAAGCACCUUCCAAGCCAAAGGCUGAGAGAAGAGGACCGUUGCUGACUCGUGCACAAAUCUAAGAGACCUCUACUCUCCGUGAGGGGAGCAGAAGUCAAUGAUGUAACCAGAUUCCAAAUCUGGAUGGCAGCAGGUGGAAAGGGUCAUUUGCUGAUCUCCUGGUGGAAGAAAUUAAUGCUCAGGAGUCAGUUCCAAAGAGGCUUCCUCGGAGCACCUUACAGCCAGAAGCCGCAGGCCCGGGAACGGCUGGGCUGGAAGCAGUGGUGACCGGACGUGAUGUCGGUGGUUCUCCACCCGCGUUCCCCGGCGCCGGAGCUCUCCCAGCUGUUUAUUCCCUGCCGUCCUCCUGACACGACUCCCAGAGACCAUGAAAAGGCUGAUCACACAGAUGCAGAAAUGGAAGCCUGGCAAGUUCAUGAAAGUGACUUACCUGACGGCAAAUCACAGAGCUAGGGCUCAGCUCUCCUGGCCUCACUCCAGUGUUGGUCCCAUCUGGAAACACCAGAUUCAUGAAGGCCAGGGUCUUACCACGUGAUUCACAGUGCCAGAUAUGAAACCAUGAGCCUCAAGUGUGUCCAUGUUCUCCUAUUAUUAGCACUGAAAGUGCCAACUUACGUUUGUGACUCGGCCACUGACAUCGACAGAUGUGGGGGUCAAGCUCUGAUUUUUGACUUUUCCUCAACAGACACACAAAAGGUGUUGAAUGAAAGGGAAAGGGAAAAAAAGUUCUCUUCUGUUUUGUCUGCUUUCAGUGCAACCAAUAAAAAUGAAUACCUUCCUUUGAUGGC